rnacentral:antisense_RNA from 1 species
UGUGGGAGCGAGCUUGCUCGCGAAGACGGCGGCACAUUCAGCAUAGCGUUGACUGGCAGAUUGCUUUCGCGAGCAAGCUCGCUCCCACA